GAUGAAGAACGUAGCGAAAUGCGAUAAGUAAUGUGAAUUGCAGAAUUCAGUGAAUCAUCGAAUCUUUGAACACACAUUGCGCCCCUUGGUAUUCCGAGGGGCAUGCCUGUUCGAGCGUCAUUAUAACCCCUCAAGCUCAGCUUGGUGUUGGGGCCUGCUGCACUGGCAGCCCUUAAAAUCAGUGGCGGCGCCAUCUGGCUCUAAGCGUAGUAAUUCUUCUCGCUAUGGAGUCCUGGUGGAUGCUUGCCAUCAACCCCCAAUUUUUCUAUGGUUGACCUCGGAUCAGGUAGGGAUACCCGCUGAACUUAAGCAUAUCAAUAAGCGGAGGA
rnacentral:misc_RNA from 1 species